UUUGUGGCAUUACCAGACUGCCCAACUUGAAACAGCUGACAUUUGGGAUUUACCAAGCUGGGAUUCAUUCCUUUUUCUAAAAACCCAAAAUAAUCAUCGUUACAAGGUUGGAUAACACAGCAAGUCAGAGAUAAGCACCAUCUCUCCAGAAUCUACCCAGUGUUUGUAUUGUGUUGCAGAAUUUUGCUGAAGAUGCAUAUGAAGACUCCAAACCUAAAAAGCACACCUAUCCCAGGAUCUAUCUAUCUAUCUAUCAUCCUGACUUAUCCAUAUUGCAAAGAAUCCAUUCCCAUGAACUCUGAUCAGAACUUAAAAGACAUCAAGACCAAGGAGAUACUGACUUAUACAUUGACUACCGUGCCGACUGUAUCAAAAGAAAGUCCUACAACCCACAUCCUAACACCCAAUCCUCCUCCAUCUAACCCCCCAUCAUCCAAAAUUAGGCACACAUGCCCCUAACUUCCUCUGUAACAACUACUACUGACCUUAAAUUCAAAUGCAAGAAGCCUGCUAAAUAAAAUACCUGAAUUCCUCUUCUUACUAAAUAUGGCUACAUUUAUCUGUGAAACAUGGUUGAAUACAACACUCCCUGACUCCAUUACCACAGUAAGAGACUAUCAUGGUUACCGGUCUGAUUGUGAAAUCCAUAGAGGAGGUGGUGUAACUAACAACACUAGACUCAACAACUGCCUUGUUCUCAUCUCAACAACACAUGCCCAAUAUUUCCCAGUCGUACUACAGACAGUUACAAUUACAGUGAUCUUAUACAUAUUACAGAAGACAACAUUGAAAAGGCACUAGGCAAUCUAAAACCAUCUCUAUCUAUUGGACCUGAUGGACUAUGUGCAUUCUUCUUAAAAAAGCUUUCCACAGCAAUUGCAGAACUUCUAAACAUAAUUUUUGAAAAAUCUUUCGGAACCAGCUCCUUGUCCUACCAAUGGUCACAAGCCACAGUCAUCCCUAUCAUCAAAAGGAGAGACCCUAUCCUACUUGAAAAUUACAGACCAAUCUCUUUAUGUUGCGUCACCUGCAAAGUUAUGAAAUCAAUCAUUAACCAAGCUAUUACCCUCCAGCUAGAGACAACCUACUCUCCAACAAAUAAUUUGGUUUCAGAAAAAAAUUAUCCUGUAAUUUACAAAUACUACAUUGCAAAAACAUAUGCAGAACACAUCUUGAUCAGGGCAAAGC